AUGGAGGUCGUCCGCACCGUCGGGAGUGUAGCGGGGUGCAUCAACAAGCUGGUUAACCUUAUAGAGAAACACAAGAAGCGCGCCCGCGACCUCACCGGGGGCCUCAAAUCCAUGAAGGCUGAUUUCGAUAUCAUAAUGGAUCUGCGCUUGGAAAAAGAGAAGCAGAAGCUGCAGCUGACACCGGGAAUGCAAUUGCAGCUGCAGGAGCUGGCUUAUGAUAUCGAUGACUUCGUGCAAGGUCUCUGGGUUCCCGGACCAUGUAGCUCCUUCGUCCUCGCAGCGACCGGGUGGGACUCUCGUGCUCUGCUUAUUGAUCGCAUCGGAGAUUUCAAGGAACGCAUCAAGAAUCUCAAAGAUGAGCUGCCAAAGGGAUUUGAACCAGUGCCGAUCGCAGGAGCUUCAACACCAGCCGGCUCAUCUUCGUCAGCUGGAUCCCCUGUUUCUUGUGCUCAAGAGCUAGAUCUCGUGGGCAUUGAGGGUCCCAAACUGGAGAUUCAAAAGCUGCUCUCCCUAGGCAUUGAGCCCCAUCGAGGGAGAUUAAGCGUCAUCUCCAUUGUGGGAUGCAGCGGCUCCGGAAAGACUGCCCUCGCAAGGGCGCUCUAUCAAGACGAUGCUGUCACCAAGAAUUUCCAUUACAAGGCAUGGGUUGUGGCAUCUGACCACAACCCUGCGGACAUUCUAAGCAAGAUUCGCCAGCAAGUUAGACCGACAUCAACACUUGGAAGUAACUCUGAAGAUGAUUCAGACCACUUCCAGAAGAACAAAAGGUACCUGGUCUUUGUCGAUGAUGUGCAGCGAGUGACAUCAUGGAAGGACAUAAGUAAUGCAUUCCGUGAAAAUGUCAUGGACAGCAGAAUCAUUGUGACCACAAGUGUUCCUUCUGUCGCCAGGGCACGCAGCUCAGGCAGUUAUAUGUACACAGUGAAAGGACUGGACAUGGAAAAUUCAAGAAGACUAUUUUGGGCAAAGUUCUGGCAAGAUGAUGGCUACUCAGCGGAAGAUGAAGCUGGCUUGUGCAACAAUGAUAAUGUUGAUAUCAUCAUCAACAAAUGUGAUGGCUUGCCGAUGGCGUUGAUCAGCGCAGCUAAAUAUUUGAGAGAGAAAGGACCAAAUCCAACAGUCGAAAAUUUUAAGCAAGUGAGCCAAGAACUUCGCGAUUGUCUGGCAUGUUGUGAGACCACCUCUGAGGAUUUCUCAGCAUUUGCACAAAUGAGAAAGGCGCUUGUCGAACCCUACGAGAAGCUCAAACAUGGUGAGAAAGAGUGCUUACUUUAUGUAAGCAUAUUUUCCCAUGGCCAUCAGACAACCACCAAGAGUCUCGUCAGAAGAUUAAUAGCUGAAGGAUUGGUUCCCAGGGACGAUGAUGUAAUAAAAGAUUCAGAGUCGGUUGUUGGAGAUGUCCGUGAGUGUUUGAGAAAAUUAAUGGACCAUAGUAUGAUUGAGCCUAUUCCGGUUCGCAACUAUACCAAUGUUGCUAAGAGGUGCCGAGUGCAUAGUAUAAUGCUGGAGUUUACCAUCAAGAAGGCUGUGUCCAGAAACUUUGUGAGUCUGAUUCACGAGGAGAAGGCUCUGCGUAGUAAAACUGGCAAAGUCCGCCGACUCACUGUUCAGUCCAGCCCUGAUGUACGCAGUGGACAUCCAGAGAAAAUGGAUCUGUCUGUUCUCCGGUCAUUAGCCAUCUUCAAGAGUGGAAUUGUAGAUUUCGAGGAAUGCAAGCUUGUGAGAGUCUUGAACCUCCAAGGUUGCAAUCAGCUUACACGGGAGGAUCUGGAUAAGAUAAGCGGGUUGCUGUUUCUCAAGUAUCUAAGCCUCAGAAAUACCAACAUCCAGGAGCUUCCAGAUAAUGUGAAGGAACUCAAGUUUUUAGAGACACUGGACACUCGGGAUACAGGGGUGAAAAAAUUUCCCGUGGAAGUCAUCAUGCUGCCACGGUUUGCUUACCUAUUUGGCAAGUAUGAGCUAACUAACGUGGACAGUAAAAAUAUGAAGAAGCUUACCAAGUUCUUUUCAGAAAAGGACAGUCAGCUGCACACUCUUGGUGCAAUAUCUGUCGACAAGACAAAAGAUUUAGAGAUUGUUCUGCUUGUUGUACAACAUGCCAGAGAGCUGAAGAAGGUUAAACUGUGGUACAAUCACACUCUAAACCUGGAAUCUCAGGACUUUUGGCAAACUGUGGUACGCCAGAGAGCUCGUAGCAAACUGGCGGAGAACCUGGAAUCCACUAUUAAGAAGCGUCCUAUCAAAUGUAUGCAUCUCGAGUCUGUGUCCAUUGAUUUCAAUGGUGUCCCCAAUAGCUUCCUUGGUUUUCUCAGGACUUUUGGUAAUAUUGGUUCCAUCAAACUACGGAAAGGAUCGGGAAGUAUUCCAAGGAUUGAGGAGUUACAACAGGUACGUGAUCUCCAGAAACUGCACCUCUUCUCAACUGGUCUCAGAAGUGAACAACUGGGAGCCCUGCAGCACUUGCAAUGCCUGCAAUAUCUCAAGCUCUCAGAGGAUCGGAACAAACUAUGGAACAGCAUCUUUCGUGUGGAAGCUGGUGGGUUCAAAAGCCUCAUCUGGCUGUGCUUUGAGGCCUCAGGCCCAAACUCAAAGCAUCCGCCUGUGCUGAUCGACCAAGGAGUCAAGACCCCUCUCGCCACUCUUCAGCUGCUUUGCAAGGGAGGUCCUCACGAGGGAACCGGGGAACCGCUUGGAGUGGUUGGCAUAUCACGUCUGUUAAAGCUCAACGAGGUGAUACUCCACCAUUCUGCUGCCGACAAUGCGGUGGGAGUAUGGAAACAAGCAGCAGAGGGACACAUCAACAAGCCGUAUGUGGAGAAGCAACAGCUAUAA
rnacentral:rRNA from 1 species